CGCAUUCUCCACCCUGCCCUUGCAAUCGGCGGCUGAAACGAGCUUUCUAAAUCUCGCGACAUCAGGGUGCCGCGGUGGUUGGUCCCACGGUUGCUGCGAUACCGGCGUCGUUGUUGGCGGAGGCUUAACGGGCACUUGGGACUCCGGAGCAAGUUCAGAAGGAAACAGAUAUGGCCAGCAACCACAGGCCUCCAACAGCACGUCCUUCUUCAAGAGGAGGAAUGGGGGUGACAGCAAGGCCUGCCUCUUCUUUAAGGACUCCGUCAGCAACCAGAAUAGGAACAGGGAUGCCUCCUAGUACAUCAAGACCUGGUUCUCGUGGUGGUUCUUCAAGCACUGGAGGAGUGCUGUCAUCUCAGAUUAAAGUUGCAGACCGUCCAGUGACGCAACAGGGAUUAAGUGGAAUGAAAUUGGGAAUGAAAGGUCCUCAGAGACAGAUAAUGGAUAAAACCUAUUAUCUUGGACUGCUGAGAAGCAAAAUAAAUGACCUCACAGCAGAAAUUAACAAGCUGCAAAAAGAAGUGGAAAUGUACAAGCAAGAGAAUUCUGUCUAUCUGUCCUACGAGAAAAGGGCAGAGGCUUUAGCUGGUGAAAUCAAAGAAUUUCAAGGUCAGCUAGCAGACUACAACAUGCUCGUGGAUAAACUUAACACCAAUACUGAUACGGCAGAAAUGAUUAGUGAUUUCAAUAUGUUGAAGGUUCAGAAUGACCGGGAAGCUCAGAGUGUGGAUAUAAUUUUCACAGAAAAACAAGCCAAAGAAAAAUUAAUUCAAGCUGUGGAAGAAGAUAUUGAACAUCAAAAAAAAGUAGCAGAUGACAUAAUAAAAGACAUGUCUCAGGAAAAUCAGGCUAAAUAUAUGGAGAUGAAGACUGCAAAUGAAAAGCUUUGCCAGGAACUGGUUGUUCAACAGCAGGAACUGGAUGCACUGAAUGUAAAGGAGGAGUCUCUAAGAGCUGAAAUAGCACACUCCCAGGUAAAACAGGAGGCUGUGAAGUUGUAUGAAAAGCUCCAUGAGCUUGAGGAACAUCGAAAUCAAAUGAUUACUGAGGACAAGAACAUGGGUUCUCCACAGGAGGAAAGAGAGAGAUUACUAAAGCAGGUUAAAGAAGAUAAUCAAGAAAUAGCAAGCAUGGAAAGACAGCUAACAGAAGUAAAGGAAAAGACAAACCAUUUUAGAAAAGUCAUUCAACGCCUUGAUAUGGAUCUGGAGGAUCAUCAAGGAGAGGAAAAUUGGAAAUACAAGGAACUGAAGAAGAGAGAAGAAAGCAUGGACAAUUUUCUUGAGACUUUUGAAGAGGUGAAGAACCAGGAAUUAGAACGUAAGGCCCAAACAGAAACCAACAUUAUUGCACUCUUGGAGCACUCAAGUAGGAAUGUGAAUCGUAUGAAACAAAUUUCAUCUGUUACCAAUCAAGAGCUGAAGAUUAUGCAGGAAGAUCUCACUUUCAAAUCAACUGAAAUGCAGAAAUCACAGAGCACUGCUAAGAAUCUGAGUACAGAGAGUCAAAGACUGCAGAUGGAUCUGCAGAAGAUGGAACUCUUAGAGGGCAAGAUGGUUGAUGAACUGGCUUCUCUUAAAGACAAAAUUGAACAAACCGAAAAGGACUUGGAGAUCUAUAACAAUCUGCCAGCUCUGAAAGCAGCAGGAGAAGAGAAGAAAAAGAAACUCCAAGAUGACAAAGAAAAAUUGACAAAACGUACCUGUGCUUUCAAGAAAAUAAUGGAACACUUGAAUACAGAGUAUGAGACUCUAAAAAGACAGCUGCAGGACAAUGAGACUCAUUCUCAGCUUACAAAUUUGGAGAGGAAGUGGCAGCACCAUGAGCAAAAUAACUUUAUGAUGAAGGAAUUCAUAGCAACAAAAAGUCAGGAGAGUGACUACCAGCCAAUAAUGAAGAAUGUGAGAAAGCUGAUCACAGAAUAUAACAAAGCUCUCAUAGACUCUUUACAGAACACCAAGAACUGAGCCCAGGAGCUUCCUUCUUGUUCAGUGGACCAAUAACGAGAGAUGUGCACAAGUAGCAUGGAAAGCUGAGCUACCAAGCUUAUUCACGCUCCAGUAAUGCAACAGGUUUCAAGCUGCAGUGUCAUAUGGACCUGUACUUUGAGAAAAGUGCAUGGAAUAGAUCAUUCAAUGUAGAACAAAAACAGGACUGAUACAGAAGUAUCAGUGUCCUUUAUCAUAAAGAAAUGUCAAAUAACACUGAAAUAAAACAAAACUUCCUUGUAUAUUUAUUUCUGUCACAUUCUACCAGUAAUUAUAAACUCUGUGUUGAUAUUUCCUUAACCUUAUAUAUUGUAAGCUAGUCCUGGUCAGUGAGAAAAAAAGUAUAGCAGACUAUAGCUGGGAAUCCUAGCCAGACAGUAAUCUAGUCUUUUAUAUGUGUUUAAAAAAAAAGAAAAAAAAAGAAAAAAAAAGACAUGAAACGAGCAGUAGAGAGUGGAUUUGUAGUUGCUCUACUACCUUGAAAAAGUCUUUCCAAAAAAGCAGACUACUGGUUUCACUGUAUAAAAUUUGAGUAGACAGAGGAUUUGAAAAUAUGCAUUGUUUGUUAAAAUAUAAAUUACGUAUUUUUAUCUCUGUUUCUCCAGAUCCGUGGUUGUCAUUUUGAAUAUGUAGGAAAAAUGUGUACAACAGUAUAUUGCAGAUUCUUGCAGGGAGCACUGUUUCCAAAUUCAGUUCAGUAAGUGCUAUUGCUCUCUAUAUUUAUGUGUAUAUAACAUUUAGAGGUGAUGGAACAGGAUUUCUAUAAACCCAAGUCUGUUGUCUAGGGAAAAUUCCCACUAAUGUCUCUUCCUUCUUCUCAGAGUUUUAGCUAUUCCAGAGAGAGCCCAUUAUUUGCUGAAAUGAAGCUGAAGUCUAAUAUUCUCACCACUUGGACCAUUCAUUAACCAGUGAGAUUGUCUCCUGAAUACAACUCAUGCUACAGUAACAUGUUUUAAUGAACAAUGGAAAGAAACUGCAAACUCAAUAAAGAGUGCUUUACUUUACUUUCCUACUCACUCAGGGCAAGGGAUGGCUUUGUUCCUUGGCACUGAUUCUGUGAGAUAGCAUAGAAAAGAUUUGUUGUGUUCUCCAGGAGAUGUGUGUAAUAAAAACACUCUCUCCAGCACUCUACUCUUAUUCCUGUUAUAUUGAUGGUCUCCAGAUUACCUGUUUUUGCCUGAGAACCUCUUCAGCCACUCCUUGUUUUAACAGUUCAUCCUCAUCAUCCUGGAUCAUGGUCCCAUUAUUCUUGGCUGAAAAGAACCUCAUGGAAUCUAAAUGGUGAGCUGCAAAGCUGGUAUUUAAUCUUCUUCUAGGAGAUUUGUGUACUUACUAACAUGCGACUCUCAGUUGUGAGCUGAGUAAUUUGUGUCCAUAUCUAGCUCCUGAAGUCUGAGAUCUAAUACCCUUUCUUUAACCUUCUUUAUAAUUUUUCUAGCCAAGUUUAAGUAUUGAACACAUGCGUGGAAUAAACAUUUGUUUUACUGAA